UACGGAGCGUGCAAGCGUUAUCCGGAUUCACUGGGCUUAAAGGGCGCGUAGGUGGGCAAGUAAGUCAGGGGUGAAAUCUCCGGGCUUAACCCGGAAACUGCCAUUGAUACUAUUUGUCUUGAAUACUGUGGAGGUCAGCGGAAUAUGUCAUGUAGCGGUGAAAUGCUUAGAUAUGACAUAGAACACCAAUUGCGAAGGCAGCUGGCUACACAAAUAUUGACACUGAGGCACGAAAGCGUGGGGAUCAAACAGG
rnacentral:rRNA from 1 species